AUUUUUUUUUUCCCUUCGGGAGGAAAAGAAACUAACAAGGAUUCCCCUAGUAACGGNCGAGUGAAGCGGGAAGAGCUCAAAUUUGAAAUNCUGGGUAGCCUUCGGCUGCCCGAGUUGUAAUCUAGAGAAGUGUUUUCCGUGCCGGCCCAUGUUCAAGUCCCUUGGAACAGGGCGUCAUAGAGGGUGAGAAUCCCGUCCUUGACAUGGACCCCCGGUGCUUUGUGAUACACUUUCAACGAGUCGAGUUGUUUGGGAAUGCAACUCAAAAUGGGUGGUGAAUUCCAUCUAAAGCUAAAUAUUGGCGAGAGACCGAUAGCGAACAAGUACCGUGAGGGAAAGAUGAAAAGCACUUUGGAAAGAGAGUUAAACAGUACGUGAAAUUGUUGAAAGGGAAACGAUUGAAGUCAGUCAUGCUCUUUGGAUUCAGCCGUUCUGCGGUGUAUUUCCAUUGAGUGGGGUCAACAUCAGUUUUGAUCGCUGGAUAAAGGCACUAGGAAGGUAGCACUCUCGGGUGAACUUAUAGCCUAGCGUCAUAUACAGUGAUUGGGACUGAGGAACGCAGCAUGCCUUUAUGGCCGGGAUUCGUCCACGUACAUGCUUAGGAUGUUGACAUAAUGGCUUUAAACGACCCGUCUAAAAACG
rnacentral:rRNA from 1 species